CCUACGGGAGGCAGCAGUGAGGAAUAUUGGUCAAUGGACGAGAGUCUGAACCAGCCAAGUAGCGUGAAGGAUGACUGCCCUAUGGGUUGUAAACUUCUUUUAUAUGGGAAUAAAAUGUUCCACGUGUGGGAUUUUGUAUGUACCAUAUGAAUAAGGAUCGGCUAACUCCGUGCCAGCAGCCGCGGUAAUACGGAGGAUCCGAGCGUUAUCCGGAUUUAUUGGGUUUAAAGGGAGCGUAGGUGGAUUAUUAAGUCAGUCGUGAAAGUUUGCGGCUCAACCGUAAAAUUGCAGUUGAAACUGGCAGUCUUGAGUACAGUAGAGGUGGGCGGAAUUCGUGGUGUAGCGGUGAAAUGCUUAGAUAUCACGAAGAACUCCGAUUGCGAAGGCAGUUCACUGGACUGCAACUGACACUGAGGCUCGAAAGUGUGGGUAUCAAACAGGAUUAGAUACCCUUGUAGUC
rnacentral:rRNA from 1 species